rnacentral:rRNA from 1 species
AGUGAACGCUGGCGGUAGGCCUAACACAUGCAAGUCGAACGGCAGCACAGUAAGAGCUUGCUCUUACGGGUUGCGAGUGGCGGACGGGUGAGGAAUACAUCGGAAUCUACUUUUUCGUGGGGGAUCACGUAGGGAAACUUACGCUAAUACCGCAUACGACCUACGGUUGAAAGCAGGGGAUCUUCGGACCUUGCGCGAUUGAAUGAGCCGAUGUCGGAUUAGCUAGUUGGCGGGGUAAAGGCCCACCAAGGCGACGAUCCGUAGCUGGUCUGAGAGGAGGAUAAGCCACACUGGAGCUGAGACACGGUCAAGACUCCUACGGGAGGCAGCAGUGGGGAAUAUUGGACAAUGGGCGCAAGCCUGAUACAGCCAUACCGCGUGGGUGAAGAAGGCCUUCGGGUUGUAAAGCCCUUUUGUUGGGAAAGAAAAGCAGCAGGUUAAUACCCCGCUGCUCUGACGGUACCCAAAGAAUAAGCACCGGCUAACUUCGUG